rnacentral:rRNA from 1 species
CAGCCGCCACGGGAAUACAGAGGGUGCGAGCGUUAAUCGGAUUUACUGGGCGUAAAGCGUGCGUAGGUGGUGGUUUAAGUCCGUUGUGAAAGCCCUGGGCUCAACCUGGGAAUUGCAGUGGAUACUGGGUCACUAGAGUGUGGUAGAGGAUAGUGGAAUUUCCGGUGUAGCAGUGAAAUGCGUAGAGAUCGGAAGGAACAUCUGUGGCGAAGGCGACUAUCUGGGCCAACACUGACACUGAGGCACGAAAGCGUGGGGAGCAAACAGGAUUAGAUACCCGUGUAGUCCCUGUCUCUUAUAC